GAUAAAUACGCCAAGAAGUCAGUUAAGGUUAUUGUUGUGGGUAAUCCAGCCAAUACCAACUGCCUGACUGCUUCCAAGUCGGCUCCAUCCAUCCCCAAGGAGAACUUCAGUUGCUUGACUCGUUUGGAUCACAACCGAGCUAAAGCUCAAGUAAGAAAAAUGUCUUUUAAAUCUUGUGGUUGUUGAACUUUAAAACAUUUUUCUCUCACUUUUAAAAUAACUGAAUCUGAGUUUGUGCUUUUUUCUUGUUUUUGUUUAGUAGGAACCUAUUACUUUUAUUAAAUUAAAAGUAAAUUAUUAUUCAUUUGUUAGGGAGUCUUUAAAUGUAUUCUCUUAAAGGACCAGAGGCUGGACUUCCCACUUGAUUUUGUCUUUAACUAUAUUUCAAUUGCUAACUAUAAUGAAAUGCAGUUACUAAUGUUCUGUUGUUACAGUGGUUAAAAAUUAGUUAUACAUGAUGGUACAUAAUUUAGUUUAAUUUUUUCAGAUACAUAUAAUCUCAUAUAAACAAAGACUUGAGCUUUGUGUGAUUGUGUGGUUCUGCUUCUAUUUUAGCUGCAGCUAAGCCAUCAAAUCAGAUUUUAAUUUUUAAUUUUAUAUUUAAUUUUCAGUUUUAUGUCUUUUUAAUAUUCUAUGUGUAUCUGUAAAAUUUCCUACUUCCACUACUUAGGAGCUAAAGUCUGUUGCUAAUUUUCUUUACUCUUAGAGCCAUAGAUAAGUAUGCCAAGGAGCCAGUGACCAGGGAAUUAACAAUAGCUUUUCAAAAAAUUAGAAGCCAGGCAACUGAUCUGAGCUAGUUUCCUAGGCUUUUUCAGAUCUAACUGGUCCUGGUGCCCGUUCUUGGACAGAACCUGUUUCCUUUGCCCUAAUGCUUUUCUGGCCAUCCCUUCUUGUCUGUAGGUCAUCACUG
rnacentral:sRNA from 1 species